AUCGAUGAAGAACGCAGCGAAAUGCGUUAAGUAAUGUGAAUUGCAGAAUUCAGUGAAUCAUCGAAUCUUUGAACGCACCUUGCGCUCCUUGGUAUUCCGAGGAGCAUGCCUGUUUGAGUGUCAUUAAAUUAUCAACCUUUCUGGCUAUGUCAUGUAGCUGGUCAGGCUUGGAUGUGGGGGUUGCGGGCUUCUCAGAAGUCGGCUCUCCUUAAAUGUAUUAGUGGAACCUUUGUUGAUUCUCGCUCUGGUGUGAUAGUUUAUCUACGCCAAAUGCAAAGUCGACGCUUUUUUAAAAAAAAAGGGGUUUUGCUAUCUAACUGUCCCUUUUAUGUUGGACAACUUCUUGACAUUUGACCUCAAAUCAGGUAGGACUACCCGCUGAACUUAAGCAUAUCAAUAAGCGGAGGAAAAGAAACUAACAAGGAUUCCCCUAGUAACUGCGAGUGAAGCGGGAAAAGCUCAAAUUUAAAAUCUGGUAGUCUUUGGCUGCCCGAGUUGUAAUCUAGAGAAGUGCUAUCCGCGCUGGACCGUGUACAAGUCUCCUGGAAUGGAGCGUCAUAGAGGGUGAGAAUCCCGUCUUUGACACGGACUGCCAGGGCUUAUGUGAUGCGCUCUCAAAGAGUCGAGUUGUUUGGGAAUGCAGCUCUAAAUGGGUGGUAAAUUCCAUCUAAAGCUAAAUAUUGGCGAGAGACCGAUAGCGAACAAGUACCGUGAGGGAAAGAUGAAAAGAACUUUGGAAAGAGAGUUAAACAGUACGUGAAAUUGUUGAAAGGGAAACGCUUGAAGUCAGUCGCGUCGGCUGGGGAUCAGCCUUGCUUAAUUGCUUGGUGUACUUUCCAGUCGAUGGGUCAGCAUCAAUUUUGACCGGUGGAUAAAGGUCAGGGGAAUGUGGCAUCUCCGGAUGUGUUAUAGCCCUUGGUCGCAUACAUCGGUUGGGAUUGAGGAACUCAGCACGCCGCAAGGCCGGGUUUUUAACCACGUACGUGCUUAGGAUGCUGGCAUAAUGGCUUUAAUCGACCCGUCUUGAAACACGG
rnacentral:rRNA from 1 species